UAAUUAUGGUGAGGGCAAUUUCUAAGAAUACUGUUAAAUUUCUCCCAAGCUUAGUAGAGAUUCCCUCCUUUUUUUUUAAACUCAUAAUCUCACUUCUCAAACA
rfam:Capsicum annuum cultivar Zunla-1 chromosome 7, whole genome shotgun sequence